GAUCCUAGCUCAGGACGAACGCUGGCGGCGUGCUUAACACAUGCAAGUCGAACGAAGAGCGGUGGAAGCUUGCUUCUAUCAAUCUUAGUGGCGAACGGGUGAGUAACGCGUAAUCAACCUGCCCUUCAGAGGGGGACAACAGUUGGAAACGACUGCUAAUACCGCAUACGAUCCAAUCUCGGCAUCGAGACUGGAUGAAAGGUGGCCUCUAUUUAUAAGCUAUCACUGAAGGAGGGGA
rnacentral:rRNA from 1 species